ACCUUAUUAGUAUAAAUGUACAUAUGACUUCCAAUCAUAAAGUCUUGAAAUAAAACAAGAUAAGGUA
rnacentral:tRNA from 1 species